UACGUAGGGUGCGAGCGUUGUCCGGAAUUAUUGGGCGUAAAGAGCUUGUAGGCGGUCUGUCGCGUCUGCUGUGAAAAUCCGGGGCUCAACCCCGGACUUGCAGUGGGUACGGGCAGACUAGAGUGUGGUAGGGGAGACUGGAAUUCCUGGUGUAGCGGUGGAAUGCGCAGAUAUCAGGAGGAACACCGAUGGCGAAGGCAGGUCUCUGGGCCACUACUGACGCUGAUAAGCGAAAGCAUGGGGAGCGAACAGG
rnacentral:rRNA from 1 species